AUUGAACGCUGGCGGCAGGCUUAACACAUGCAAGUCGAACGAUGAUUAUCUAGCUUGCUAGAUAUGAUUAGUGGCGGACGGGUGAGUAACAUUUAGGAAUCUGCCUAGUAGUGGGGGAUAGCUCGGGGAAACUCGAAUUAAUACCGCAUACGACCUACGGGUGAAAGGGGGCGCAAGCUCUUGCUAUUAGAUGAGCCUAAAUCAGAUUAGCUAGUUGGUGGGGUAAAGGCCCACCAAGGCGACGAUCUGUAACUGGUCUGAGAGGAUGAUCAGUCACACCGGAACUGAGACACGGUCCGGACUCCUACGGGAGGCAGCGGUGGGGAAUAUUGGACAAUGGGGGCAACCCUGAUCCAGCCAUGCCGCGUGUGUGAAGAAGGCCUUUGGUUGUAAAGCACUUUAAGCAGGGAGGAGAGACUAAUGGUUAAUACCCAUUAGAUUAGACGUUACCUGCAGAAUAAGCACCGGCUAACUCUGUGCCAGCAGCCGCGGUAAUACAGAGGGUGCGAGCGUUAAUCGGAAUUACUGGGCGUAAAGCGAGUGUAGGUGGCUCAUUAAGUCACAUGUGAAAUCCCCGGGCUUAACCUGGGAACUGCAUGUGAUACUGGUGGUGCUAGAAUAUGUGAGAGGGAAGUAGAAUUCCAGGUGUAGCGGUGAAAUGCGUAGAGAUCUGGAGGAAUACCGAUGGCGAAGGCAGCUUCCUGGCAUAAUAUUGACACUGAGAUUCGAAAGCGUGGGUAGCAAACAGGAUUAGAUACCCUGGUAGUCCACGCCGUAAACGAUGUCUACUAGCCGUUGGGGUCCUUGAGACUUUAGUGGCGCAGUUAACGCGAUAAGUAGACCGCCUGGGGAGUACGGCCGCAAGGUUAAAACUCAAAUGAAUUGACGGGGGCCCGCACAAGCGGUGGAGCAUGUGGUUUAAUUCGAUGCAACGCGAAGAACCUUACCUGGUCUUGACAUAGUGAGAAUCCUGUAGAGAUGCGGGAGUGUCUUCGGGAAUUCACAUACAGGUGCUGCAUGGCUGUCGUCAGCUCGUGUCGUGAGAUGUUGGGUUAAGUCCCGCAACGAGCGCAACCCUUUUCCUUAUUUGCCAGCGGGUUAAGCCGGGAACUUUAAGGAUACUGCCAGUGACAAACUGGAGGAAGGCGGGGACGACGUCAAGUCAUCAUGGCCCUUACGACCAGGGCUACACACGUGCUACAAUGGUAGGUACAGAGGGUUGCUACACAGCGAUGUGAUGCUAAUCUCAAAAAGCCUAUCGUAGUCCGGAUUGGAGUCUGCAACUCGACUCCAUGAAGUCGGAAUCGCUAGUAAUCGCAGAUCAGAAUGCUGCGGUGAAUACGUUCCCGGGCCU
rnacentral:rRNA from 1 species